AAUAAUGACAUAAACUAAAGCUUCAAUUAACUUACACUAUGAUGUAAAGUUUUUGAGAUAUAAACAUACAUAUGUUAAAUUUAUAUAAAAUUUAAAUUAAAGACCGAUGUCUUCAUUUGUGAUAAAUGUAUCUAUUUUUCUUCGAUUUAUCAUAUUUGAUCUAUAUAUAUCGGAACAUGUUCUCAUGUGUCGUAGUAAUCGACAUAUAAAUGUUAUAUACCGGAACAUGUUUCUAUAUACCGGAACGGCGCAUCUAACGUCGCACUCGCCUCUUUUUGGGCUCCAUCGCGGUCGUUUCUUCUUUGGUUUGCUGCCGUGCGAAGGAAGAGGAAGAGAUUCUGAUUCCAUGGGCACUCCAGUCUCUUCUGCUGCCUUCCCUUCCGAAUGCCGUGGAGAUUCGACGCUGCCUUCCCCUGCCUUUUACCGCGCCGUUUAUUCCCAGAUUGAAGAGGUUGGUUGGGAGCACCUGAUGGGAGCAGCGGAAGAUCUGUCAUGUCUCACCUUCCGACGCUUAGAUAAGAAGGGACGAGUGCACAUAUUAGAGAUAUCAUUACCUCGUAACUAUCCCGAAUCUUCGCCUACUAUUGCUGCGGAUGUACCUUGUAUCAAUGAGGUGGUGUGGUCCGAAAAGUCAAGAUUGAAAGAUGUUGUGCAACAAUUUGAUGAGCAUUUGCAGAAGUUGCAGGAAUUUUGGUCUACCAUGGAUGACAUUGAUAGAGAUCUCUGUGUUGUUUAUCCGAAGGAAUCAUCUCUUGCAACAUCAUAUUGUCAGAUUGGACUUGGCAAUGACUGCUAUCUUUUAUUACAUAUCAGUACUUCAAGCCCAAGGUCUUUACCAGAGUGUCGUUUCUUUGGUCCAGACUCAGCUGUAGUUUUAAUGAGGAAUAACUGGAAGAAGAAUGCUAUAAAAUGGAAAGUUGACAAACCAUUCCACGAGAAUCUGGCAGCACUUUUGGAGAGAGAACUACCUGGCCCUUCUGUGAGCAGUAAAGAUGAUGGGCAAGUUGAUUGCGGAAUUUGCUAUGCUCAGUACUUGCCAGUUGACGAUGAACUUGGAGCUAACAGCGGAAGUGCACCGGACUAUACCUGCAAAAAUCCUAGUUGCAGUAAAGCUUUUCAUACCGUAUGCCUCAGAGAUUGGCUGCAUUCCAUUACAACAACGAGGAAGUGUGUACAUUUCGGCCAGUCAUCGGCAUCGUUGUUUGUUAAUUUAUAUUUUAAGUUCAUGUUAUCCGAGUUGUCUUUAUGUGUUUCUGUGUCUCUUUUCUCAGGUCAUUUGAUGUUCUGUUUGGAGACUGCCCCUAUUGUUCUGAACCUGUCGCAGUUAAAGUUAAUAACUGACAUUAAUUCAGAGAUUAACAACUCAUUAUCUACCACAAGAAUGUGUCAGUUCUGGACUUGUGUAAGAGAGAGAGAGAGAGAGAGAGAGAGAGAGAGAUUUGUACAUCAAAUUAUCCUUUUUGUUGCUUCGAUCGUCGGAUUACAUUAUACUUGUGGUGAUUACAUUAUAUGCAUUUAUCCUUUGUGGAUUCUGUGCCGUAUGCAGCAGGGUUAGUCCUUUUGGUAAAUCGAAGAGUCAUACAAGUUCAUGAUCACGAGGAGGGCCCCAUCAAAUCAAUUGAUCAAGUGGUCCAGAAUGAAAUCAUGUUGACAGCUGCCACCACCAUUAAUCUGGUUUGAGAAGGUGCGUAACGGUCUGCUUUCACAACCAGCCUAGACUUCUCUGCCUUCUUUUGCCGCAAAAGUGUAAGCUUUGCGUGCGCCAUCAGCUAAAUAGACGCUGCCAGCCUUUUUAUUCUUCGCAGUGGCAGUUUCCAUUCCAAGCCAAAGCCUUUUGAUGAUUCGCUGAUGGCAAUGGCACCAGAGCUUAGAGAGCAGCAUCCAAGGAGCCAUCAAAAAGCUCUUAAACCAGGAAGAUUUUCGAAUGUGUUCUUAUGAACAACAUGCAUUGUUCAAAGGUCACAUUCUCUCUCCCGCAGUCUCCUCUGCUGUCAAGAGAAAAGAGCUUUGGCGUGUGGGAGGGGGGGACUGCUCAGCAGAGCUAUACUGCAAGCAAAACGCAAAACUUAGCAGCCAGCGUUGUGUGAUACUGGUCACAGUGGACACAGCAAAGUCAUAACUCACAGCUGUUAUCUGAGUGUCUGCUUGUGAGGAGAAUCCUCCCCCUUGACAUCUGACCACCCUAGACUUUGUGGGUUCAGCCUUCCUGCUAUUUUGAGUCAUCGGCAGUAGACAUGGUUGCUCUCUGAUGCAUCUGGGGUGAUUGAGGGCUCAUGGAUCAAUGUUGCUGAGGUUGGUUUGAAAUUUUGCGUCCCUUUAUUUCAGACUUGCUUUCUUUCUCUCUUUCUUGCAACCUCUGCACCAACUGUUGUGUGUGCUUUUGCUGCUGCUCUCCUCCCUCUGUUCUGUCCUUUCUCUCUGCCUGACUGAUUGCCUAGCAAAGCAAGAUUUUAUGGUUAUCAAUGCAUUCAAGACCUGAAUCAGUAGUACGCCAUUACAGAUACUUAUCUGCACUCGGGUACACCAGUAGCAAUCAUCCCCUCAAUAUUUUUCUCUCUUUUCCCUUCCAAUUAUUAAACUAAGAGAAUCUCUCAGGACAAGACUGGACAACAAGAAGCACAUCACUCCAUAUAAAUAUGUUGACAUGUCUCACUUUUCCUCCCAACUCAGUAGCACUCAAUCAUGCUCAUGAAUUAGACAAUGGCUCUCUUUAGCUGCUCCGUCAACCCUCCAAGGCAUGUUCAUCUCCUCUCAUUGCUCCUCCUCUUGAGCUCCCUCCAUCCCCUGUGUUUGACUGAAGGUAGGCCAUUUUUGAUGCUUCAGGAGGUUGUGAAGGAGGGCGAAGAGAUGAAGGUGGGGGAGGCGAUGCUCGGAUCGAGGCCGCCGAGAUGUGAAGGAAGGUGCCUCACCUGUGGCCAGUGCGAGGCAAUUCAAGUGCCUGCAGUCCCUCAGGAGACGAGUGGAACCAGGCAUUUCUCCACAGCAAUCACUGCAAGGGGUGAUGACAGCUCCAUCUACAAACCCCUGAGCUGGAAAUGCAAGUGUGGGGGGAUGAUCCUCAACCCAUGACCUGCUACAAACAGCAGUCUCGCAUACUCAUCUCUAUGUGAAUAGAUAGAUACCUGGAGCAGUGGCUUCCCCUUUGUCUCGUUCAUGGCUUGUGUUCAGAUCUCCUUGUACUGCGACAGGCAACAUCCCUCCUUUUGUUUUAUUACCUGGUGUGGGAUCUCUAAGCUAGUUUUAUGUGGGUAUAAUAUACUACUGUAAACUCCUAACAUAUCUCAUCUUCUGAGCCCUUUUAGGCUUUAUUGUAUGGAACACUUGUUCCACCAGUUGGUAUUCAUUUCUUUGUUGCUGUUCA